UUUAACUAUCUAUCUAUCUAUCUAUCUAGGUAACUAGUCAAGGUGACGAGGUAGUGGACUCUGUACUCACUAAAACUAAGAAAAGAACUCUAAACCCGAGAUGGGAGGAGGAGUUCCUUAUGAGACUUAAACCUGCAGAACACAAGAUAGUACUAGAGGUUUUCGACGAGAACAGGUUGACGAGAGACGAUUUCUUGGGACGAGUUGAGUUGGAUCGUCUUGGCAGUGCAGGGAGGGUUUUAUCCUUAACUACUUUUA